CAAAUAUUCACAAACUGAUCACAACCUCGGAAUCAGCACCCAAACAGGAAAUGGAGCACAACAGAAGCCUCCUUGGUGCCCCCUUUCAGUCCAUACAUCCCCUCCUCCCCCAGAAUGACUAUCCUGACUGUUAAUACUCCGUAGGACGCAGCAAGGGCUACCAUCUGCAAGCCAGGAAGACAGCGCUCACCAGGAUCCAAAUCAGCCAGCACCUUGAUCUUGGACUUCCUAGCCUCCGGAACGGUUUGAAAAAUCAUGGGAUUCCUCCCUUCAAGGGCCCCACUGAAGUCUCAGCUCCUCCUGAAGGGUUCUGCUCUGGAAAUCCUGCCAGCAUGAAUCUCUCCCUUAGCUUCUAUUAUCUCUACUGUCCAUUAAAACAAAACAAUCUAUCAUACAGAAUAAUAAAACAAGUAUACAGAAUAAUAAAGGUAUACAAAAUAAUAAAACAAAUAUCCAUGUAUCCACCACUCAGUCUAAGAAAUAAUGUGUUCCCAAUGUUUUCAAGGUCCCAAUCGCAUCUCUUUCACCCCCAGCAUAACCACUAUCUUGAAUUUUGUUAAUUAUUCUCUUUUUAUUACUUCCUUG
rnacentral:lncRNA from 1 species